UCGGAAUGCGGCGAGACUUUGCGAGGGGCCUCGGGGUGCCAAAAAUAAGCCGCGGGCAAAGCCGCGCCCAAAAAUAAGCGCCCGAAGGUCGUGGUGCCAAAACCCCCCAGCGGAAAAAUGGCCAAAAAACGGGUGGGCUAUAGCCUUGGUGGGGGGCGCGGGCCAAGUUCGUCCGCCGGACUCGGAAUGCGGCGAGACUUUGCGAGGGGCCUCGGGGUGCCAAAAAUAAGCCGCGGGCAAAGCCGCGCCCAAACAUAAGCGCCCGAAGGUCGUGGUGCCAAAACCCCCGAGCGGAAAAAUGGCCAAAAAACGGGUGGGCUAUAGCCUUGGUGGGGGGCGCGGGCGACGUUCGUCCGCCGGACUCGGAAUGCGGCGAGACUUUGCGAGGGGCCUCGGGGUGCCAAAAAUAAGCCGCGGGCAAAGCCGCGCCCAGAAAUAAGCGCCCGAAGGUCGUGGUGCCAAAACCCCCCAGCGGAAAAAUGGCCAAAAAACGGGUGGGCUAUAGCCUUGGUGGGGGGCGCGGGCGAAGUUCGUCCGCCGGACUCGGAAUGCGGCGAGACUUUGCGAGGGGCCUCGGGGUGCCAAAAAUAAGCCGCGGGCAAAGCCGCGCCCAAAAAUAAGCGCCCGAAGGUCGUGGUGCCAAAACCCCCCAGCGGAAAAAUGGCCAAAAAACGGGUGGGCUAUAGCCUUGGUGGGGGGCGCGGGCGAAGUUCGUCCGCCGGACUCGGAAUGGGGCGAGACUUUGCGAGGGGCCUCGGGGUGCCAAAAAUAAGCCGCGGGCAAAGCCGCGCCCAAAAAUAAGCGCCCGAAGGUCGUGGUGCCAAAACCCCCCAGCGGAAAUGGCCAAAAACGGGUGGGCUAUAGCCUUGGUGGGGGGCGCGGGCGAAGUUCGUCCGCCGGACUCGGAAUGCGGCGAGACUUUGCGAGGGGCCUCGGGGUGCCAAAAAUAAGCCGCGGGCAAAGCCGCGCCCAAAAAUAAGCGCCCGAAGGUCGUGGUGCCAAAACCCACCAGCGGAAAAAUGGCCAAAAAACGGGUGGGCUAUAGCCUUGGUGGGGGGCGCGGGCGAAGUUCGUCCGCCGGACUCGGAUUGGGGCGAGACUUUGCGAGGGGCCUCGGGGUGCCAAAAAUAAGCCGCGGGCAAAGCCGCGCCCAAACAUAAGCGCCCGAAGGUCGUGGUGCCAAAACCCCCGAGCGGAAAAAUGGCCAAAAAACGGGUGGGCUAUAGCCUUGGUGGGGGGCGCGGGCGACGUUCGUCCGCCGGACUCGGAAUGCGGCGAGACUUUGCGAGGGGCCUCGGGGUGCCAAAAAUAAGCCGCGGGCAAAGCCGCGCCCAGAAAUAAGCGCCCGAAGGUCGUGGUGCCAAAACCCCCCAGCGGAAAAAUGGCCAAAAAACGGGUGGGCUAUAGCCUUGGUGGGGGGCGCGGGCGAAGUUCGUCCGCCGGACUCGGAAUGCGGCGAGACUUUGCGAGGGGCCUCGGGGUGCCAAAAAUAAGCCGCGGGCAAAGCCGCGCCCACAAAUAAGCGCCCGAAGGUCGUGGUGCCAAAACGCCCCAGCGGAAAAAUGGCCAAAAAACGGGUCGUGGUUCAAAAAUAUAAUCAAAACGUGAGAAAAACGCAAAAUUGUGGGUUGAGAAAGCCCACCAAGCUCCUUGGUGGCGAGCUUCCCUCGAGCAUGGGCAGCCUUUUACCACUUCUUCUAAGUUUUCAAAGUUCCGGUUUCUCCAUUUUCAUUUUUUUGAAGCCAAAACAUAGUUUCCCAUGUUCGCCAUCCCAUGUUCUGCAUCCGCGCAAAAAAUCUAGGCUUUCCAAACAAGUCCGACGCUUAUCAUCUCAGUCCAUCUCCCCAUGCUCUGUGUCGGUGCAAAAAAUCUAACCCAAAAAAACUCGAUUGCUUAUCCCCUACCCGUUGCCCUUUCCCGCAGUUCAUUAGGGGCUACCUGCGCGGGAAGUUGCCUUAAUAUUUGAAAAUAAGAUACAAAGAUUUAGCUGCAGCUUGAACCCUUUACAUGGUGGUCAAAAUCACAAAUAAAGUUUCAAACCCACCGUUGAGCCACCAUGAAUUCUUGUAACUAUUUGCACAAAUAUUAUUUAAAUCGAAAAGUAAAAUAUAAAUUAAUAAUAAAACAAAUAAUUAAUGAUUUCACAUCGUAAAUGGAUAUUUAAGUUGUUGUUUUCUGUGGUCGAAUCAAAAUUAAAACGUCUUAGGGUAAAAAAACCCCCGAGCGGAAAAAUGGCCAAAAAACGGGUGGGCUAUAGCCUUGGUGGGGGGCGCGGGCGACGUUCGUCCGCCGGACUCGGAAUGCGGCGGACUUUGCGAGGGGCCUCGGGGUGCCAAAAAUAAGCCGCGGGCAAAGCCGCGCCCAAACAUAAGCGCCCGAAGGUCGUGGUGCCAAAACCCCCGAGCGGAAAAAUGGCCAAAAAACGGGUGGGCUAUAGCCUUGGUGGGGGGCGCGGGCGACGUUCGUCCGCCGGACUCGGAAUGCGGCGAGACUUUGCGAGGGGCCUCGGGGUGCCAAAAAUAAGCCGCGGGCAAAGCCGCGCCCAGAAAUAAGCGCCCGAAGGACGUGGUGCCAAAACCCCCCAGCGGAAAAUGGCCAAAAAACGGGUGGGCUAUAGCCUUGGUGGGGGGCGCGGGCGAAGUUCGUCCGCCGGACUCGGAAUGCGGCGAGACUUUGCGAGGGGCCUCGGGGUGCCAAAAAUAAGCCGCGGGCAAAGCCGCGCCAAAAAAUAAGCGCCCGAAG
rnacentral:lncRNA from 1 species